CCCAUGCUGUGCUGCCCAGUGCAGUAGUCUGGGAGCUGACUUUGUUUGUGAAGACAGAGGCAAAAAAAGCAUUGAGUACAUUAGCUUUUUCCACAUCCUCUGUCACUAGGUUGCCUCCCUCGUUCAGUAAGGGGCCCACAUUUUCCUUGACUUUCUUCUUGUUGCCAACUUACCUGAAGAAACCCUUCUUGUUACUCUUAACAUCUCUUGCUAGGGGCCCACAUUUUCCUUGACUUUCUUCUUGUUGCCAACUUACCUGAAGAAACCCUUCUUGUUACUCUUAACAUCUCUUGCUAGCUGCAACUCCAGGUGUUAUUUGGCCUUCCUGAUUUCACUGCUGCAUCCCCGAGCAAUAUUUUUAUACUCUUCCCUGGUCAUGUGUCCAAACUUCCACUUCUUGUAAGCUUCUUUUUUGUGUUUAAGAUCAGCAAGGAUUUCACUGUUAAGCCAAGCUGGUUACCUGCCAUAUUUACUAUUCUUUCUACACAUCGAGAUGGUUUGUUCCUGCAACCUCAAUAAGGAUUCUUUAAAAUUCAGCCAGCUCUCCUGGACUCCUUUCCCCCUCAUGUUAUUCUCCCAGGGGAUCCUCCCCAUCAGUUCCCUGAGGGAGUCAAAGUCUGCUUUUCUGAAGUCCAGGGUCCGUAUUCUGCUGCUCUCCUUUCUUCCUUGUGUCAGGAUCCUGAACUCGACCAUCUCAUGGUCACUGCCUCCCAGGUUCCCAUCCACUUUUGCUUCCCCUACUAAUUCUUCCCGGUUUGUGAGCAGCAGGCCAAGAAGAGCUUUGCCCUAGUUGGUUCCUCCAGCAUUUGCACCAGGAAAUUGUCCCCUACACUUUCCAAAAACUUCCUGGAUUGUUUGUGCACCGUUGUAUUGCUCUCCCAGCAGAUAUCAGGGUGAUUGAAGUCUCCCAUGAGACUUCUCCCAUAGUAACUUCCAUUACUAGAACAUCCUGUUGAAUGCCUCCCUGCAUCUUUAGGUACCGAAACACCUUUGAAAAUCUAGCCUCUUGUGCCUCAGUUCUCAAUCUAUACAAUGGGGAUAGGAGCACCCAUCUUACAUAGUGCAUUAAAUAUUGCGAGGUCUUUGAAUACUAGGUAAAGGGAGGCCUGAUAAGUACCCUUAGAAUACAUUAUUGUGCCAUGAAUGUAGAGACCUUUGUCAUGCUUGAAAUUGUGUUGACAGCUAGUCACUGAUUGGCAUUUUCUGAGCAGAAAAUAUUUUGUUAAGGGUGGGACCCGGGGUGCUUGGGGCAGCCCUCACUGAAAAUGCCAAGAUCAGUUCAGGCUGCAAAACGAGAGCAGAUAACCACCAGUUCUGGGAGAAACACUCAAGUUAGACUCCCCAACCAGUCACAAACUGUGCUUCUGAUCCCCCACAUUGGUUCUCGAGAAACUAAAAAAGAAAUCACAUAGUCCCAUUUAUUGCAUUCCAGUUCUCUGGCUUCCAAUCAGCACCUAGGUCCAGUACAGUGAGAAGUUAUUUAAAAACUCUCCUCACAUAUACAAAAUGUUCUUCUCACCCCAAAGGGUCAGCCACAUUGCCAGGUCAGUACUAGUUUGGAUCUUACCCAAAAUACCAUGCUGCAAGCCAAUCCUUUAGUGUCUAAAACUAAAGGUUUAUUAUAAGGAAAAAGAAAGAACAAGAAGAGAGUUGUUAAAUGAUAAAGCAAUCAGAUACAUACAGAGAUUUCAAAGUCCAUAUAUCAGGGUCUUAGCAGUAAUGGUGAGUUUGCUGGCUUGAAAGUCCCUCUGGAACACAUCCACAGCUUGGAUGGAUCAUUCAGUCCUUUGUUCAGUUUGUAGAAAAGUUACUCCAGAGGUAAGAAGCAGGAAUGAAGACAAAAUGGAGAUGAUGCAGCUUCCUUUUAUAUUCUUUUGCCACGUGGCUUGUACUUCCUGUGUCCCAGACACAAACUUCACAGCACAUGGCAUGGAAAAGCCAUGGAGUUCUCUUCCAUAGGCAUGCCCCUACAUGUCUUGCUGACUCAUACAGUGUAACCCUUGGAUUCUUUCAGUGGGUUCAUUGUACAGUUGAUGACCCUUGAUGGCCAUCAAACAGGCUAGGCAGUGCUGAUGGCAGUCAGUCUGGGGGUGUCACCCAGAAACACAGCACAAGUUGGAAAUACAGCUAUACCCUACACAUCUAUAACUCACACUACAAAGGUGAUACAAACAUAUAAAGAAGAUGAUCAUACUUGGCAAAUUCUAACAUUUUCACAGAUACCUCACACGGCAUAUCCGGUCAGAUUCCUUGCAAUUUUAUAAUAUUGGCAUCAACACUAUCAUAUAAAGUGCCCCCCAUAUUCCAUACAGCAUCACAAAUGGAAAAUCUCGUUUCAUCAAAACCAGAAAAAUAGCGUUCCUCUGGGAAACUGGACAUUUCCCACUGGGAAAUCCCCAACCGGGGGAAAGCUAGUGGGAAUCUACUUUCCAACUUGAUUUCCAGCUGGAAAAAGUUGGGAAACAGUCAGAAAAUGUGAGAAAAUAGGAUUCUCUUACUCUCCCCUUCUUUUUCUAAUAGUCCCAUGGGAAAGUGGAAUUUUCCACUGGGAAAACUUCCCAAAGGACAUAUGCCCCUGAAAAUUCCUCUGAGAACUCAAUACAGGGGUAGCUGUGUGAAUUCUAUGGCCUAUAUAAAGCAGGAGAUCAGACUAGAUGAUCAAAUGGUCCCUUCUAGCCUUAAAAUCUAGGAAACAAAUUCCCAUUUUCCAAACAGGUCUCGUAACUUCACCGCUAGCUAGGCCUGGCUAAUGGAUGUGGCCCUUUAGCCCAAGCGGGAGGUGCUUAUGCUUUUGGAUAGAGGUCAGGGGGUUCAGUCCUCACAGAUGCUCAAAUUCCCUACAGAGCUUUAAAAAUUCCAAUCUCUGUGUCCGCAUGUACCAUUGCUGCUCAGAAACCGAACUUGAGACUUCUGGAGCUAAAAGCAAGAAUUGGUAUGGCCUGAUCUAAAGGAGAAAAGGGGGCUGCAUUUGAUAGUAAAGUUUUAUUUAUAAAAGUUUUAAUAAACGAUGAAUAGCUGUUAGAAGCAUGUUACAGACAUGAUUAGUAUGUGCUAUAGGUGCAUCGAUUGAAGGUUAUAAGCAUGUCCGUAGGAGUCAAUAUCAAUGGUUAUAAGCAAUCUGUUGACCUGUCUAAAUGGGGGGGGUCGCAUACUUCUUUGCUUCUGUAGGCUGAGUUUAUUGCACAUACCAGAGACCUCUUGCCUCCCUCCAGUUCACUCUCCUUUCCCCUCUAUUUCAGCGACUCCCUGUAACUUUCCUCCCUUCCCCGGUUAGUCUUUGUUCUGUCCUGGAGAUGAGUCAUUUGGGGUAGCAACAUGUUAAACUCCACUGGGAGAAGGAGCAGGGAUGUUGUUAUGCUGGAAGGUGUCGGGGGUGCCAUCAACCUGUUGUUUGGUCUAUAGACAUUUGCAGAGGUGGUUGAAGCUGUGGCUAGGUGAAUCAGAUGGAAGGGGCUCCCCGUGUCCCCUAUUUUUCCCUUGUUUUCUGAUUUUGUUCCCCCAAAAUCAAUAGGAUUGUGACCACUGACAUCUAGAACAUUCCCAUGUAUGUUGGAAUUGAUCAGCUGCGGUGUUCAGACGUUACCACAUUAUGAAAGAUAAACGGAGAAAUGUAGUUGAGUGUCAGGCUUUUGAACACCCAGCCAACGAUUGAGUGACCAUUUCUUGAAAUGCUCUGUUAAUCCUGUAUUAAUCUGUAAUAAAUGACA